ACGAGCCCUAGCUUAAAACUCAAAGGACUUGACGGUAUCCUAACCAACUAGAGGAGCCUGUUCUAUAAUCGAUAAUCCACGAUACACCUAACCACUUCUUGCUCUCAGCCUGUAUACCUCCGUCGUAAGCUUACCAUUUGAAUGCAUAUAGUAAUGCUUAAGGACCCCACGCCAAAACGUCAGGUCAAGGUGCAGCCCAUGAAGUGGAAGCAAUGGGCUACAAUCUCUAAUCUAGAACAAACGAAAUAUUAUAUGAAACAUAAUCGUAAGGAGGAUCUAGCAGUAAAUAAGAAAUAGCAAGUCUUACUAAAUUUGGCCCUAGGAUGUGUACACACC
rnacentral:rRNA from 1 species